AGAGUUUGAUCCUGGCUCAGGAUGAACGCUAGCUACAGGCUUAACACAUGCAAGUCGAGGGGCAGCAUGGUCUUAGCUUGCUAAGGCCGAUGGCGACCGGCGCACGGGUGAGUAACACGUAUCCAACCUGCCGUCUACUCUUGGACAGCCUUCUGAAAGGAAGAUUAAUACAAGAUGGCAUCAUGAGUCCGCAUGUUCACAUGAUUAAAGGUAUUCCGGUAGACGAUGGGGAUGCGUUCCAUUAGAUAGUAGGCGGGGUAACGGCCCACCUAGUCUUCGAUGGAUAGGGGUUCUGAGAGGAAGGUCCCCCACAUUGGAACUGAGACACGGUCCAAACUCCUACGGGAGGCAGCAGUGAGGAAUAUUGGUCAAUGGGCGAGAGCCUGAACCAGCCAAGUAGCGUGAAGGAUGAAGGCUCUAUGGGUCGUAAACUUCUUUUAUAUGGGAAUAAAGUUUUCCACGUGUGGAAUUUUGUAUGUACCAUAUGAAUAAGGAUCGGCUAACUCCGUGCCAGCAGCCGCGGUAAUACGGAGGAUCCGAGCGUUAUCCGGAUUUAUUGGGUUUAAAGGGAGCGUAGGUGGAUUGUUAAGUCAGUUGUGAAAGUUUGCGGCUCAACCGUAAAAUUGCAGUUGAAACUGGCAGUCUUGAGUACAGUAGAGGUGGGCGGAAUUCGUGGUGUAGCGGUGAAAUGCUUAGAUAUCACGAAGAACUCCGAUUGCGAAGGCAGCCUGCUAAGCUGCAACUGACAUUGAGGCUCGAAAGUGUGGGUAUCAAACAGGAUUAGAUACCCUGGUAGUCCACACGGUAAACGAUGAAUACUCGCUGUUUGCGAUAUACUGCAAGCGGCCAAGCGAAAGCGUUAAGUAUUCCACCUGGGGAGUACGCCGGCAACGGUGAAACUCAAAGGAAUUGACGGGGGCCCGCACAAGCGGAGGAACAUGUGGUUUAAUUCGAUGAUACGCGAGGAACCUUACCCGGGCUUAAAUUGCAGAUGAAUUACGGUGAAAGCCGUAAGCCGCAAGGCAUCUGUGAAGGUGCUGCAUGGUUGUCGUCAGCUCGUGCCGUGAGGUGUCGGCUUAAGUGCCAUAACGAGCGCAACCCUUAUCUUUAGUUACUAACAGGUUAUGCUGAGGACUCUAGAGAGACUGCCGUCGUAAGAUGUGAGGAAGGUGGGGAUGACGUCAAAUCAGCACGGCCCUUACGUCCGGGGCUACACACGUGUUACAAUGGGGGGUACAGAAGGCGGCUACCUGGUGACAGGAUGCUAAUCCCAAAAACCUCUCUCAGUUCGGAUCGAAGUCUGCAACCCGACUUCGUGAAGCUGGAUUCGCUAGUAAUCGCGCAUCAGCCAUGGCGCGGUGAAUACGUUCCCGGGCCUUGUACACACCGCCCGUCAAGCCAUGAAAGCCGGGGGUACCUGAAGUGCGUAACCGCGAGGAGCGCCCUAGGGUAAAACUGGUGACUGGGGCUAAGUCGUAACAAGGUAGCCGUACCGGAAGGUGCGGCUG
rnacentral:rRNA from 1 species